rnacentral:rRNA from 1 species
UACGAAGGGGGCUAGCGUUGUUCGGAAUUACUGGGCGUAAAGGGUUCGUAGGUGGCUCGCUAAGUCAGACGUGAAAUCCCUCGGCUUAACCGGGGAACUGCGUCUGAUACUGGAUGGCUUGAAUCCGGGAGAGGGAUGCGGAAUUCCAGGUGUAGCGGUGAAAUGCGUAGAUAUCUGGAGGAACACCGGUGGCGAAGGCGGCAUCCUGGACCGGCAUUGACGCUGAGGAGCGAAAGCCAGGGGAGCAAAGCGGG